CCUACGGGUGGCAGCAGUAAGGAAUAUUGGUCAAUGGACGCAAGUCUGAACCAGCCAUGCCGCGUGGAGGAUUAAGGCCCUCUGGGUUGUAAACUCCUUUUAUCUGGGAAGAAAUGUGACGAUUCUUCGGCACUUGACGGUACCAGAGGAAUAAGCACCGGCUAACUCCGUGCCAGCAGCCGCGGUAAUACGGAGGGUGCAAGCUUUAUCCGGAUUCACUGGGUUUAAAGGGUGCAGGUGUGUGCGGGUAGAGAUCUCCGGGCUUAACCCGGAAACUGCCGUUGAUACUACUUGUCUUGAAUAUUGUGGAGGUAAGCGGAAUAUGUCAUGUAGCGGUGAAAUGCUUAGAUAUGACAUAGAACACCAAUUGCGAAGGCAGCUUACUACACAAUCAUUGACGCUGAGGCACGAAAGCGUGGGGAUCAAACAGGAUUAGAUACCCCAGUAGUC
rnacentral:rRNA from 1 species